rnacentral:rRNA from 1 species
GAUCAUGGCUCAGGAUGAACGCUAGCUACAGGCUAACACAUGCAAGUCGAGGGGUAGCAGGGUAGCAAUACCGCUGACGACCGGCGCACGGGUGAGUAACACGUAUCCAACCUUCCCAUAACUCAGGGAUAGCCUUUCGAAAGAAAGAUUAAUACCUGAUAGUACUUUUUCAAGGCAUCUUGAGAAAGUUAAAGAUUUAUUGGUUAUGGAUGGGGAUGCGUUCCAUUAGAUAGUUGGUGAGGUAACGGCUCACCAAGUCUUCGAUGGAUAGGGGUUCUGAGGGGAAGGUCCCCCACAUUGGUACUGAGACACGGACCAAACUCCUACGGGAGGCAGCAGUGAGGAAUAUUGGUCAAUGGGCGAGAGCCUGAACCAGCCAAGUAGCGUGAAGGAAUGAAGGUCCUAUGGAUUGUAAACUUCUUUUAUAGUAGAAUAAAGUGAUCCACGUGUGGAUUUUUGUAUGUAUACUAUGAAUAAGGAUCGGCUAACUCCGUGCCAGCCGCCGC